rnacentral:tRNA from 2 species
UGGGGCGUGGCCAAGUGGUAAGGCAACAGGUUUUGGUCCUGUUUAUUCGAGGGUUCGAAUCCUUCCGUCCCAG